rnacentral:rRNA from 1 species
CAGGCCUAACACAUGCAAGUCGAACGCUCGUCUUCGGACGGGAGUGGCAGACGGGUGAGUAACGCGUGGGAACGUACCCUCCGGUUCGGGAUAACCCAGGGAAACUAGAGAUAAUACCGGAUACGUGCUAUGGCAGAAAGGUUUACUGCCGGAGGAUCGGCCCGCGUCUGAUUAGCUAGUUGGUGGGGUAACGGCCUACCAAGGCUGCGAUCAGUAGCUGGUCUGAGAGGAUGAUCAGCCACACUGGGACUGAGACACGGCCCAGACUCCUACGGGAGGCAGCAGUGGGGAAUAUUGGACAAUGGGCGCAAGCCUGAUCCAGCCAUGCCGCGUGAGUGAUGAAGGCCUUAGGGUUGUAAAGCUCUUUUACCCGGGACGAUAAUGACGGUACCGGGAGAAUAAGCCCCGGCUAACUUCGUGCCAGCAGCCGCGUGGGAAU